rnacentral:rRNA from 1 species
AUGGCCACCACGCACCAUCGCCCCCUCCACGCCCUCACGCACCCUCGCCCAGUCGCCGACCUGCUCCUCUGGAGGCGGAGGAAUGCCUCCAUGGCGGCCGUCGCGGGCGCCACACACCCUCGCCCAGUCGCUGACCUGCUCCUCUGGAGGCGGAGGAACGCCUCCGUGGCGGCCGUCGCGGGUGCCACGCUCGUCUGGUUCCUCUUCGAGCGCGCCGGGUACAGCCUCACAUCGGUCCUCUCCAACGCCGUCCUCCUCCUUGUCAACAUCCUCUUAUUCUGGGCCAAGUCUGCCUCGCUGCUCAACAGGUCCGUCCCUGCAUUUACUCCCCACUUUGCUCUGCCUGGCGCCCGGCCUGCCCUGCUACUCCAGUCCAGACUCCACAGUAGGAGCAGCUCUCGUUCGGGAUCUGAUCCAGAACUAAACUGCUCCCCUGUCUUGCUAUGGUCGUUUGAGAUCUUUGCUUUCCCAUGCAACCAGUUUGGUGGGCAGGAACUUGGCAUUGAUAAGGAAAUUGUUCAGAUUGCUUGCACACGUUUCCAUGCCGAGUAUCUGAUUUCUGACAAGCCUCUUUCGCACCCAUUGUGUCGAGGACCAAUGCCAGGUUCUGGUGGCGACGAGGACGGUCGUCGAGAGAACCGGCGCCACCUCACCCAAGGAAGAGCCCACGGACUAUUCGCCCGCACCGCAUGCCGUCGUCGACCGGGGAAAGGGCCGGACCAGACUCAAGACGCGCACACACCUCCACCACCACAACCACGCCACCAGCACUACCCACCGGUCUACGGCAGGGCCGGCCGCCCGCAGCCCCUGCUGGCCUCAGCCCUCGCCGUCGAACGGGUCGCCAGUGCCAGAUCAGGCAGGAUCGAACCGGGGCCGCCCCACACGAACCGCUCGCAGGACGAGGCCCUGACUCCACCGCACAUCCGUCGCGGUACCGAUGAGCGCCCACGCCACCAGCGUCGCAACCCGCAGUACCGCCGCCGCGCCCUGCACACAGCGCCGCACCCCUGCUGGACCUGCAGCACCCCACGCCACCAGAGACAGACAGGAAGGAGAAAUCCCCCGCCGCCACCCAGGCCAACCAUGCUUCGCCCGGCGGCCCUCGCGGGCAGCAGCGAGGAGGGGGAAGACCGGCGGAGGCGAGGGGAGCCGGGGCAAAAGAAGCCCGCCCGGCUGCCAUGGGGUGGCGGCACGGAUGAGCGGGAGGGCGGAGUCGCGAGAUCCCUCCACGGAAAUCAACACCCAACAUCAAUUUUCCCGUUGCAAUAUGUGCUAAACCAGAGUCCCCAUCCCAUUCACUUACGCAGCAACAGCAAGCCGCCACCAGCCACCGGCCACCGGCCCGUCGUCAUCGGCGGCAGCCACCGCUGUAGGAUGCAGGCACCAGCAGCUACUGCAAUCGCUCCACUCGCUUCUUCUUUUUUCCUGACGCAAGCACAGCAGCACUGCGACCCCAUGAAUCUCGUCGUCGACGGUCGACCAGGGAUGCUGCAACGCGAAUCUCGCCACGGCAGCGGAGCUACAAUGCAACAAGAAGUGUGUGCACGUGGAUGUCGCCGGCGGCCUGCCAUGCAACAUGCGUGGUGCUGCCUUCUCGCAGACCUAGCUGGCCGGGGGAGCUGCAGUGCAACAUGUGUGCGCUGCCCGUCGGCGGGUGAAGUUGUGAUGCAACGGGCGUGCUGCUGCGCGCGGGGCGACGGAGCUGCAGUGCGACGGGGGCGACGCAGCGACCAGGGGAUCUCAUGCCUCGUUGUAAGCCGAUGUUGUCGCCGGCAGUGCUACGAUGCAGCAAUCAUCGGCGUUUCGGUGCUGCUGGCAGCGAUGGGCAGAGCGCGCCGAUGCUGCAACCUAGCACUCGCCGACGAUGGAAGUUGGGAUGGGCGUGGUGCUGUGCUGCGCGCCGGCGCAGCGGGGCUGCAGUGCAACGGGGCAACGUUGUGA